UACGAAGGGUGCAAGCGUUACUCGGAAUUACUGGGCGUAAAGCGUGCGUAGGCGGUUUGCUAAGUCAGCUGUGAAAUCCCCGGGCUCAACCUGGGCACUGCAGUUGAAACUGGCAAGCUAGAGUAGGGUAGAGGGGUGUGGAAUUCCAGGUGUAGCGGUGAAAUGCGUAGAUAUCUGGAGGAACAUCAGUGGCGAAGGCGACACCCUGGACUCAUACUGACACUGAGGUGCGAAAGCGUGGGGAGCAAACAGG
rnacentral:rRNA from 1 species